GCAGGCUGAAACUCGCCUGUAUGAAGAUGGAGUUGCUAGUAAUCGCGAAUCAGAAUGUCGCGGUGAAUACGUUCCCGGGUCUUGUACACACCGCCCGUCACACCAUGAGAGUUGGCAACACCCGAAACCUGUGGGCUAACCGAAAGGAGGCAGCAGUCUAAGGUGGGGUCAGUGAUUGGGGUGAAGUCGUAACAAGGUACC
rnacentral:rRNA from 1 species